GAUGAACGCUGGCGGCGUGCCUAAUACAUGCAAGUCGAGCGAACGGACGAGAAGCUUGCUUCUCUGAUGUUAGCGGCGGACGGGGGAGUAACACGUGGAUAACCUACCUAUAAGACUGGGAUAACUUCGGGAAACCGGAGCUAAUACCGGAUAAUAUUUUGAACCGCAUGGUUCAAAAGUGAAAGACGGUCUUGCUGUCACUUAUAGAUGGAUCCGCGCUGCAUUAGCUAGUUGGUAAGGUAACGGCUUACCAAGGCAACGAUGCAUAGCCGACCUGAGAGGGUGAUCGGCCACACUGGAACUGAGACACGGUCCAGACUCCUACGGGAGGCAGCAGUAGGGAAUCUUACGCAACGGGCGAAAGCCUGACGGAGCAACGCCGCGUGAGUGAUGAAGGUCUUCGGAUCGUAAAACUCUGUUAUUAGGGAAGAACAUAUGUGUAAGUAACUGUGCACAUCUUGACGGUACCUAAUCAGAAAGCCACGGCUAACUACGUG
rnacentral:rRNA from 1 species